ACUGAGCACAUUUGUGCAGGGGAACCCAUGCCUCAUGCCACUCUCCAGCCUGCUCUGGAUGUUCCUGGCCUUCACCUUCUCUGGAUCCAGUGUAGCCCAUAAAAUUAUUCAAGACCAAGCAGGCAUAUCCAGUCGAGUUGGGGAGUCAGUUACCCUGAACUGUCGGUAUGAAACAAGUCGGAGCAACAACAUUUUACAAGUUGUUAUUGUAACAACAAGUCACAACAUUUUUUGGUACAAGCAACGUCCCAGUGGAAAGAUGAUUUUCCUUACAAGGGAUGGCCAUUACUCUAUAAAUUUUGAGAGAUCAGGUAAAUCAUCCAGCCUCACCAUUUCAAACUUACAAUUGGAAGAUUCUGCAAAGUACUUCUGUGCUGUCUGGGAACUCACAGUGUUUGAAGUAAUAGGAAAAGCUGAACAAAAACCCUCCAAGCUUGAUAAGAGAAAGCCUCUCUGCUGUAGGACCCUAGCUGAAAUACACACCUGGAUCUCCCAGACAAUAAAUGGUGGUCCUGUGGUUGCUUCAUCUGUGGUCUGGAUCAGAAGAUUUAAUUCUAAAUAA